CACGUAGGGUGCGAGCGUUGUCCGGAAUUAUUGGGCGUAAAGAGCUCGUAGGCGGUGUGUCGCGUCGGCCGUGAAAACUUGCAGCUUAACUGUGGGCGUGCGGUCGAUACGGGCAUCACUGGAGUUCGGCAGGGGAGACUGGAAUUCCUGGUGUAGCGGUGAAAUGCGCAGAUAUCAGGAGGAACACCGGUGGCGAAGGCGGGUCUCUGGGCAGUAACUGACGCUGAGGAGCGAAAGCGUGGGGAGCGAACAGG
rnacentral:rRNA from 1 species